GAAAAAAAAGCAGCUGAAAAAAAAGAGGCUGAAAAAAAAGAGGCUGAAAAAAAAGAGUCUGAAAAAAAAGCAGCUGAAAAAAAAGAGGUUGAAAAAAAAGCAGCUGAAAAAAAAGAGGCUGAAAAAAAAGCAGCUGAAAAAAAAAGAGGCUGAAAAAAAAGCAGCUGAAAAAAAAGAGCCUGGAAAAAGGAGCGAAUCAAAAACAGAUAUAAAAAACAAAUAUAAUAAUAAACAAAAUAAAGAAUUAAAUAAGAGAGAAAAAUCAAUAAAUAAAAAAAUAAAUAUUCCAUUAAAUACAGAUAAUAAUAAUAAUAAUAAGGAUGAUGAUGAUUAUAAUUAUAUGAAAAUGUUCAAUGCGAAAAACAUUCCAGAAGAUUCACCAUUAUAUAAAAUAAUUCAUAAUAUUAAUAAAGAAUCUAACAUACAGGUAGAUGGAAUGAACAUAUUUAAAGAUCUUGCUAAAGAAAAACCAAAUACUUUGGAAACUUAUGAAGACCUAAUUAAUUCGUUAGGUUAUGUAAAUAAGGAUAAUCCUAAAAAUAAUAAAUUUAAAAUUACUGAUGACAAUAACACAGAAUUUAGUAAUAUAAAAGAUUUAUUCAAUUAUAUAAAAAGUAAUUUUAAAAAUUCAGAACGAAAAAAGUAAAUAAAAACUGAAAAAAACUGAAACGUAGGACCAUACCAAACAUAUCCAUAGCUAAACAAAUGAGAAAAACACAAUCUUUCACACAUAAAAUAAUUAUUUUUUUUAUACUAACGAAAUUCAAAAAUUAAAAAAGUAAUGUUAACAUAUUAAAAAUAUAUAUAAAUAUAUUGAUACAUUUUAUAGAAAUUAUAAACACCUUUUCUUCUUCUUCUUUUUUUUUUUUUUUUUUUUUUGUUUAUUCUUAUAGUUGUAAUUUAUUGUUUUAUGUGGUAUUUAUAUAUACACAUUGAAAUGUUUUAUUAUGUACCAUAUUAAUGGCUCAUUUGUUUUUAUCUAAUUUUAUAAAUAUAUAAAUUAAAAAAAAAAAUAAAAUAAUAAAAAAAAAAAAAAAGUAAACUAAA
rnacentral:lncRNA from 1 species